UGGCUGUAGCCAGAUCCAAUAGCUGAGAAGUUAACUGGCCGGUUGUUGUCCAACUCCAUCGACAAUUCUGCUUACCGAACUUCUUACAUGC
rfam:Eucalyptus grandis cultivar BRASTZ1 unplaced genomic scaffold scaffold_11, whole genome shotgun sequence.